GCCCCAGUAGCUUAGUGGUAAAGCAGCGCUUUCGUAAAGCGAAGACCGGCGGUUCAAAUCCGUCCUGGGGCA
rnacentral:tRNA from 1 species